ACCACCCCGUAAGCCUAAAUACUACUUAGUGACCGAUAGCGCAUAGUACUGUGAAGGAAAGGUGAAAAGGACCCCGGGAGGGGAGUGAAAGAGAACCUGAAACCCUGUGUUUACAAGCUGUGGAAGUUCUUUAAAUGAACAACCGCGUACUUUUUGUAGAACGGUCCGGCGAGUUGCGGAUACUGGCAAGGUUAAGCACUUAAGGUGCGGAGCCGAAGGGAUACCAAGUCUUAACAGGGCGUUAAGUCAGUAUACGCAGACCCGAAACCGGGUGAUCUAUCCAUGUCCAGGUUGAAGUUGUCGUAAAAGACAAUGGAGGACCGAAGCCACAUCCGUUGAAAAGGGUGGGCAUGAGGUGUGGAUAGGGGAGAAAUUCCAAUCGAACCCGGAGAUAGCUGGUUCUCCUCGAAAUAGCUUUAGGGCUAGCCUCGAUUUAGUCUUAUGGAGGUAGAGCACUGAAUUUCCGCGGGGGCGUCAAAGCUUACCAAAGAAUAUCAAACUCCGAAUGCCAUGUAGAUGAUGAUCGGGAGUCAGACUGCACGAGAUAAGUUGGGCAGUCAAAAGGGAAAGAGCCCAGACCACCGGCUAAGGUCCCAAAGUGCGUGUUAAGUGGAAAAGGAUGUGGGAAUUCGAAGACAACUAGGAUGUUGGCUCAGAAGCAGCCAUACAUUCAAAGAGUGCGUAACAGCUCACUAGUCGAGAGGUCCUGCGCCGAAAAUGUCCGGGGCUGAAACACGACACCGAAGCCGUGGACUCGCAAUGCGAGUGGUAGAGGAGCAUUCUUAAAACCGACGAAGCUGUACCGGAAGGAGCAGUGGAGGGAUAAGAAGAGAGAAUGCCGGAAUGAGUAGCGAGAGAAAGGUGGGAAUCCUUUCGGCCGAAUAUCUAAGGUUUCCAGAGUAAAGCUGAUCUGCUCUGGGUAAGUCGGGGCCUAAGCACAGGUCGCAAGACGUAAGCGAUGGAUAACAGGUUUAGAUUCCUGUACCACGCAUUAUCAGAACUGUAGGGACGCAUGUGGAAAGCACGAGCCGGGAAUGGAAAGACCGGUACAAGCGGGGUAGGUGUACAACAGGCAAAUCCGUUGUAUAAUCCGAAGACGUGAUGUGGAGCGAAAUAAAGUAGCAAAGCGUGUGAGCCAUGUGCCGAGAAAAGCUGCUAUUGUGUAAUGCGUGCCCGUACCGUAAACCGACACAGGUGGAUGAGGAGAGAAUCCUAAGGCCGGCGGAAGAAGCAUUGUUAAGGAAUUCGGCAAAAUGACCCCGUAACUUCGGGAGAAGGGGUGCCUGCGAGAGCAGGCCGCAGAGAAUAGGCUCAAGCAACUGUUUAGCAAAAACACAGGUCUAUGCGAAACCGAAAGGUGAAGUAUAUGGGCUGACGCCUGCCCGGUGCUGGAAGGUUAAGAGGAGAGGUUAGCGUAAGCGAAGCUUUGAAUUUAAGCCCCAGUAAACGGCGGCCGUAACUAUAACGGUCCUAAGGUAGCGAAAUUCCUUGUCGGGUAAGUUCCGACCCGCACGAAAGGCGUAAUGAUUUGAGCACUGUCUCGACAAUGCAUCCG
rnacentral:rRNA from 1 species